AAAAAAAAAAACAAGCAAGGCAGGGAUGCCAGCAGGGCAUGUGCUGAGGAGACAGGCGCGAGCACCAGAGGUGCAGGGUGGCCUCUUAGCCGGAGUCCAGGAGGCCUCUGAGGGGAGAGGGCUUCUGGUAGACACCAGGGGUGGGGAUGAGCAGUGACAGGGGCCCUGGGGCCUGGGAUAUGACAGGGCAGCGCGGCAGUGUCUGGUGGCCCCUCCCGCAGGCCAUCACCAUCGAGGCUGAGCCAAGAGCCGAUGGCAGCCGCCGGACCACCCGCUAUGACAUCGACAUGACCAAGUGCAUCUACUGCGGCUUCUGCCAGGAGGCCUGUCCUGUGGAUGCCAUCGUCGAGGCAUGUGAGGCCCCCGGGUGGGAGGGGGGCUGAGGCUCCUCAGCAGGGCCUAACCGUCAUCCCUGCAUCUCAACCUGCAGGGCCCCAACUUUGAGUUCUCCACGGAGACCCAUGAGGAGCUGCUGUACAACAAGGAGAAGCUGCUCAACAACGGGGACAAGUGGGAGGCUGAGAUCGCCGCCAACAUCCAGGCUGACUACUUGUAUCGGUGACGCCCCACCAGCCCGCAGCCCCUGCUGCCCAAUAAAACCGCUCCAAUCCCA
rnacentral:sRNA from 1 species